GUCAACGUCACUAUUAUCACCCUAAUGUUUCAAAAGAUUUUUCGAAGUCUCCGAAGGUCCCUUCGAUGAUCUCGAAGAUUUUCAGAAGAUCAAGUUUUCUUAGCCAUCCCCUGGAAGAUCCGCAGAGGACUACGGAGCUCUACUCAAAGGAUUCCUGAAGACCCAAAGUACAAUCGAUACCUUGGAAGUCAGGCAAGCUCCCACAGGGAAGGUCCGUCAAGUCCGAAGACCUAACGGAGAGUGGCAUUUCUCGGCUUCGCUACUGCUUGUCAACUAAGUAGUUAUGUCCUUCGAGGGAAGACGAUGCUUGAUAUCUAAUGCACAGUAUUAUAAUAGAGAUAACUUGAGGUAACUCACUGUCUUGAUGAAUAAAACUGUUUCGUUCAAGAAAAUGUAACUGAAAGAUUUCAAUUAAGUUCUUACAAAUAUUAAACUAUCAAAAUAU